rnacentral:rRNA from 1 species
GACAGAGGGUGCAAACGUUGCUCGGAAUCACUGGGCGUAAAGGGCGUGUAGGCGGGAGAGAAAGUCGGGCGUGAAAUCCCUGGGCUCAACCCAGGAACUGCACUCGAAACUUCCCUUCUUGAGUGCCGGAGAGGAAAGCGGAAUACCUGGUGUAGAGGUGAAAUUCGUAGAUAUCAGGUGGAACACCAGUGGCGAAGGCGGCUUUCUGAACGGUAACUGACGCUGAGACGCGAAAGCGUGGGGAGCAAACAGG